GGUUGAUCCUGCCAGUAGUCAUAUGCUUGUCUCAAAGAUUAAGCCAUGCAUGUCUAAGUAUAAGCAAUUUAUACAGUGAAACUGCGAAUGGCUCAUUAAAUCAGUUAUCGUUUAUUUGAUCGUUCAUUACUACAUGGAUAACCGUGGUAAUUCUAGAGCUAAUACAUGCUAAAAAUCCCGACCUCUGGAAGGGAUGUAUUUAUUAGAUAAAAAACCAAUGCCUUCGGGCUGCUUGGUGAUUCAUAAUAACUUGUCGAAUCGCAUGGCCUUGUGCUGGCGAUGGUUCAUUCAAA
rnacentral:rRNA from 1 species